rnacentral:lncRNA from 1 species
AUGAAAUAUGUUUUUCCAUUAGACUUUCAAGGAGAGGAAAUUUUUAUGUACACUAUGCCAAGUCUAAUAUGUAAAGCACCCCAAACAAACCAUGGUAGUGUUCCUCACUGCCCAUAUGGGCCCCAUAUAUGGAAUGAAGAUCAUACUGAGGGUGUGCAUGUAGUACAGCAAGACCUGAUCUUGCUAUCUUCCCCCUUGUUGUGCAGGCAAUGUCGCUUUGGGUGCAGAAGCACUGCUCCUGAGAGGACUGAAACCAGACUGUUGCAUCUGAGCCUGAGGAAGAACUGCUGUUGGAACAGAAAAAGGCAGAUGAGAGAGAAACUUCAAGACAUGAGUAUACCCAGUUCUUGA